UGCUCCCUGGUGCUCAGCCAGAUCCCAGGGCACGGGACAAUGCCUUGCCAGAGGUUGCCUUUGGGUGCCUGUGUCCCACCUGGAGCUGGGUGGGGCACUGGGAUGCUGGGCUACUUGUGCCAAGACAGACCCUGCUCUGAGCUGGGCCCUGAGGCUGGCUGGAGGGCUACCUUGCGAGUCAGUCCCUCCUUUCCAUCUGUGAUCCUCUCUGGAAAAAGGUGGGGUUCACCUGACCAGCAGAUAGGCAUCCCAAGUCCAUGUGCUUCUCUGAGCCUCAGUUUCUUCACUGGAGAGGCGGGCCUAAUGUUUGAAUGUGUUGUGUUCACCAUGACAUGAGGGGCAAGUGUAAAGUCUAUAUGUGUGCAUGUGUGAGUUCGUGUGUGUGUGUGUGUGUGUGUCUAUUUACUUAAACCCAGCCUUGUUCCAGAGUGGAUUUCAGGAUUCCUCUAAGAAGCUUUGGAAUGCCAGAAGAUACCACAAGUGAGAAGAAAAAAUAAAACAAGAGGAAGGACAUACUUCCCAUAUGGGGACAAAGUACAGCCACAGUGUCCUCCGCUUGGGCCAUGGAACAGCCGCAGGUUUUGCCCUGAUUACCCUGGUGGUAAAGUCUGAUUGGCUAUGACUCCCAGUGUCCAAAAGAUAAACACGGGCUGUGCAGUGGAGCCGCACACAUGCCUGUGCAUGGCCAUGCCAGGUCAGAAACCCAGCCCCUCUGCUUGGGAGGCACACAGGGCUCUGGCUGAAGCCUGAAGCUUGCGAUCCUCAGAGCACAGACGUCCCAGGGCUGUGUGAAGUUAGUGAGAUGAGGUGUACAGAGAGAGCUCAAGGAGGAGAGGGAGUCUCGAUUGCCGUCACCCGUGGCUCGGAGAUGCCUGUGACAGGUGUCCGAUGGAUCUGAUGGAAAGGUGGCAGGCGAAAUGCACCUGGCCUCAGCACCAAGGGCCGUGAAUGCCGUGGCAGUCGUAGCUAUGUGGUCGGAAUGGACUAGGAUGGUCCUUCCACCAAGAAGGCUGGGCCUUCCUGCUCCUCGUUGUCCAGCUGCAGAAAGUGAUUGGGCUUGACACAACUGCCCCUUCCUCCACACACUCCCAAAUAUACCUACCCCUCCCCAACCCAGUCCUCCUCGCCAGACUGUGGCUCCCGGGUGACAGGGCAGAGUUGGACUCACCUCUGUCUGCCAGGCCAGCUCUCCAUGGGGGCAGGUCCCAAGAGGCCUCUGGAUUUGGACCAACUUCAGUGUGAGCUUGAGCAAGCCCUUAGCCUCCCUCAGCCUCCGUUGCAUGAGGCGUUGUGCUGGUACGUCUCAGAGCAGGUGGCGCUACCUGGUGAGCCUGUUCAUCAGACAGGCUGUCCAUCAGACAGAGCCUGGGUGGCUCUGUCCAUCAUCUUUGUCACUGUAAUGCUGGUUAACAAAUAAACAUGAAACAAUGAGUGGUCA